rnacentral:lncRNA from 10 species
AAGAUCUGUGAACUUGAUGCAUGCUAAAAGGAAGCCCCGCGCUCUGCCGGGGCCCUGGAACUCAGGCCACCGGCUCCAGGCGGAAGCGAGCCCAAAGCCGGCCAGGCGGCAGCAUCCGCUACCCCGUGGCUCAAGCCAGGCUCCGAGGUGUUGUGCCAAGAAAAGGCCUGAAUCAGGGUGAUGGAAGCUGUAAGGAGACAAGUUUGGAAUGAGUUUUAACAAUCAAGUUGCCUCAAUUCCGUCGUUGGGAGACUUGUUUUUAAUCGAGCAGCAAAUAGCAAAAGGUCGGUAGCCUUAUCCUUAUGUAUAGGAUAAGGAUAAUGAUAGUACCUACUUCAUAGUGAUGACGUGAGGAUAGUAAAUAAAAUAAAGACCAAGCAAGCUAAGCACAAGGACUGGCAUGCCACAAACACACAACCACACUGGAGGAUACAAGACGGAUCCUAGAAGGAUUUCAUCCAGAGUCAGUCAAGCUCUCCCUCCAAAUGCUCUCAGCUG